rnacentral:rRNA from 1 species
GGCUCAGAUUAAACGCUGGCGGCAUGCCUUACACAUGCAAGUCGAACGGCAGCACGGGGGCAACCUGGUGGGCGAGUGGCGAACGGGUGAGUAAUGCAUCGGAACGUGCCAUUGAGUGGGGGAUAACGUAGCGAAAGUUGCGCUAAUACCGCAUAUUCUGUGAGCAGGAAAGCAGGGGACCGCAAGGCCUUGCGCUCUUUGAGCGGCCGAUGUCAGAUUAGCUAGUUGGUGAGGUAACGGCUUACCAAGGCGACGAUCUGUAGCGGGUCUGAGAGGAUGAUCCGCCACACUGGAACUGAGACACGGUCCAGACUCCUACGGGAGGCAGCAGUGGGGAAUUUUGGACAAUGGGCGCAAGCCUGAUCCAGCCAUGCCGCGUGAGUGAAGAAGGCCUUCGGGUUGUAAAGCUCUUUCGGCCGGGAAGAAAUCGCAUGGGUUAAUACCCUGUGUGGAUGACGGUACCGGAAUAAGAAGCACCGGCUAACUACGUG